rnacentral:rRNA from 1 species
GAUGAACGCUGGCGGCGUGCCUAAUACAUGCAAGUCGAGCGAAUGGAUUGAGAGCUUGCUCUUAUGAAGUUAGCGGCGGACGGGUGAGUAACACGUGGGUAACCUGCCCAUAAGACUGGGAUAACUCCGGGAAACCGGGGCUAAUACCGGAUAACAUUUUGAACCGCAUGGUUCGACAUAGAAAGGCUGCUUCGGCUGUCACUUAUGGAUUGACCCGCGUCGCAUUAGCUAGUUGGUGAGGUAACGGCUCACCAAGGCAACGAUGCGUAGCCGACCUGGGAGGGUGAUCGGCCACACUGGGACUGAGACACGGCCCAGACUCCUACGGGAGGCAGCAGUAGGGAAUCUUCCGCAAUGGACGAAAGUCUGACGGAGCAACGCCGCGUGAGUGAUGAAGGCUUUCGGGUCGUAAAACUCUGUUGUUAGGGAAGAACAAGUGCUAGUUGAAUAAGCUGGCACCUUGACGGUACCUAACCAGAAAGCCACGGCUAACUACGUGCCAGCAGCCGCGGUAA